CCUACGGGAGGCAGCAGUGAGGAAUAUUGGUCAAUGGCCGUAAGGCUGAACCAGCCAAGUCGCGUGAAGGAUGAAGGAUCUAUGGUUUGUAAACUUCUUUUAUAGGGGAAUAAAGGUAGCCACGUGUGGCUAUUUGCAUGUCCCGUAUGAAUAAGCAUCGGCUAACUCCGUGCCAGCAGCCGCGGUAAUACGGAGGUUUCGAGCGUUAUCCGGAUUUAUUGGGUUUAAAGGGUGCGUAGGUUGUUUUUUAAGCGAGCGGUGAAAGUUCGUGGCUCAACCAUAGAAUUGCCGUUGAAACUGGCAGACUUGAGUGUGUUUGAGGUAGGCGGAAUGCGUGGUGUAGCGGUGAAAUGCAUAGAUAUCACGCAGAACUCCGAUUGCGAAGGCAGCUUACUAAGCCAUAACUGACACUGAGGCACGAAAGCGUGGUGAUCGAACAGGAUUAGAUACCCCGGUAGUC
rnacentral:rRNA from 1 species